GGAUGUGAGGGCAAUCCGGCUGCGACAUCUGUCACCCCACUAAUCACCAGAGUUGAUUUCAGCUGAUCUAGCUGGCUAGAUUGGUAUUAACUUCCUCCCUCACUGCUCUGUGUGCAUCUCUCCCAAAGCUGUGUGCUUGGUCAAAGAGGACGACCCUCCCUGAUAGAGGAGGACCACUCUUUGGUCAAGAAUAUACGAGUAGCUGUGCUUCCCUCACAGAAUCCCCAAACAAGCUCUCAAGAUUUUGGAGAGCAAAAGAGAGGCAGCAACCAUUUUAUUUUUACACUCAAGACAAGCAGGCGCUU
ensembl:misc_RNA 7SK 7SK RNA